rnacentral:snoRNA from 1 species
AACCUCCCCUUCAGGAGAAUCAUUUCUAUAGUAAUCGACCCAUUCUUGGUUCCUCAAAAGAGCCACAGAAAUCCACCCUGGUUGAUGAUUGCAUAUCCUCGACACCCUAGAGUGAAUACUUGUUUUCUGGUCCUCUCGAACUGUCCGCAAGGAUGGCGGUCUUGGCUCUCGGGCCUUGACUGUAUAGAGAGAUGCGCAAGUCAGUUAUUGGCCAGCUUCGGUUGGUUCAUGUCGACUUGCCACUUUUGAUGAUCUCGACCCUGUCGGUGGUCUGCCUUCGGGCGCACUAACAGGGUGGGUGUUGAUGGACGUCUGACAGGC